UUAACUAUUAUAUAGUACUCAGACAUCACUAACAUUCAGAGUUUGGUCCUCUGGCAGGCACAUGCAGGCUGAGCCCACAGUGGGAGGCCACGGCCUGCCAAAGCAACAAGAGUAAAUAGACACGGGUAGGGUCUACCGGUUGCCCAGUAUCCUUUUUUAAUGAUCCUUCCGCAGGUUCACCUACGGAAA
rnacentral:misc_RNA from 1 species